CCUACGGGGGGCAGCAGUGGGGAAUAUUGGGCAAUGGGCGCAAGCCUGACCCAGCAACGCCGCGUGAAGGAAGAAGGCUUUCGGGUUGUAAACUUCUUUUAAGGGGGAAGAGCAGAAGACGGUACCCCUUGAAUAAGCCACGACUAACUACGUGCCAGCAGCCGCGGUAAUACGUAGGUGGCAAGCGUUGUCCGGAUUUACUGGGUGUAAAGGGCGUGCAGCCGGAGAGACAAGUCAGAUGUGAAAUCCACGGGCUCAACCCGUGAACUGCAUUUGAAACCGUUUCCCUUGAGUGUCGGAGAGGUAAUCGGAAUUCCUUGUGGAGCGGUGAAAUGCGUAGAUAUAAGGAAGAACACCAGUGGCGAAGGCGGAUUACUGGACGAUAACUGACGGUGAGGCGCGAAAGCGUGGGGAGCAAACAGGAUUAGAUACCCUUGUAGUC
rnacentral:rRNA from 1 species